rnacentral:rRNA from 1 species
CUUUUAAAUAAGUAAGAGUUUGUGGUGGAUGCCUUGGGUCUGAAAGUCGAUGAAGGACGUGAUUACCUGCGAUAAGCCUCGUGGAGCCGGAUAUGUGCUAUGAAACGGGGAUUUCCGAAUGGGGAAACCUAACUAGGGUUAUGCCUAGUUGCAAAUGCGAGACACCUUGUGAACUGAAACAUCUUAGUAGCAAGAGGAAAAGAAAAUAAAUAAUGAUUUCUUCAGUAGCGGCGAGCGAACGAGAAAGAGCCCAAACCACUUUUUAAAGUGGGGUUGUAGGACAAUCUACAUAGAGUUACAAACCUUAAUGAUAGCAGAAGCUUUUGGGAAGAAGCGACAUAGAGGGUGAUAUCCCCGUAUGCGAAAUUGUUAAGGCUCUUGAUUGUAUCCUGAGUAGGGCGGGGCACGUGAAACCCUGUCUGAAUCUGCCGGGACCACCCGGUAAGGCUAAAUACUAAUCAGACACCGAUAGUGAACUAG